AACGAACGCUGGCGGCAUGCCUAACACAUGCAAGUCGAACGAGACCUUCGGGUAGAGUGGUGUAAGUGUGCGUAACGCGGGGGGACCGGCCAAUAGGUUAGGAAUAACCCCCCGAAAGGGGGGUAAAUACCGGAAAAAGUCAUCGGAACAAAGAUUUAUCGCCUUUGGAUGGGCCCGAGUUGAAUUAGCUAGUUGGUAGGGUAAAAGCCUACCAAGGCGUCGAUCCAUAGCUGGUCUGAGGGCUUGACCAGCCACCCUGGGACUGCGGCACGGCGCAGAAUGCUACGGGGAGCAGCGGUCGGGAGUAUUAGACAGUCGGCGCGAGUCUGGUCCGACUGUGCCGUGUGUUUUAUGCAGGCCUUGGGGUUGUAUAGCCCUAUUUCCCGGGAUGUUGAUGACUGUACCGGAAGAAUAAGCACCGGCUAACUCCGUG
rnacentral:rRNA from 1 species